AACGAGCGCAACCCUCGUACUUAGUUGCCACCAUUCAGUUGGGCACUCUAGGUAGACUGCCGGCGUUAAGCCGGAGGAAGGUGGGGACGACGUCAAGUCAUCAUGGCCCUUACGCCUAGGGCUACACACGUGCUACAAUGGUCGGUACAAAGGGCAGCAAUACCGUGAGGUGGAGCGAAUCCCAAAAAGCCGGCCUCAGUUCGGAUUGUACUCUGCAACUCGAGUGCAUGAAGUUGGAAUCGCUAGUAAUCGCGGAUCAGCACGCCGCGGUGAAUACGUUCCCGGGCCUU
rnacentral:rRNA from 1 species